CGUCACCUCUCUGAUGACCUGUCGGGCUGGACAGAUCCUGCCCCGAGGCGGGCAGCAGAGGCGCACGCUGAGCGGGCACGCCGCCAUCGCCACCAGUCGCGCGGUCGUCGCCUGUUGAAUGCUGCGCUGACGAUGGGCCCAUCCACUCCAGAAGCUGGAUGAGGCGCUCCUCCCGCUGCUGCGAUGCCUCCAUCUGAACAGUGCCGGUUGUGAAGUCUCGAUGGCGCCAGAUUCACGAGUAUUAUCUUUCGCGCUGUCGGAGAUGUCUGCGAAUGGCGUCGACGUUCGGUGAACACACCGGAAGCCUCGGCCCGUAUGCCAAUCGGCUGACCUUCUUGAGUCCAGUCCUGCAACGCGGCGAAACAAGUUCUCCUUCUUCGACCAGUUCAGCCUCGAUCCCGGGAUGGUUCAGGCUUGUGAGUGACGGGUCAUCGUUUGAAUCACAUGAACCGACAACUGAAUACAACCUGACGAUUGAACCGCCGUCGAUAAAGGAUCAAAUGCCCUUCGUCAUCGGCACCGGGCAUACAGUGAAUGCAGACCAGGCUCGUCAGUAAGGGACGCGGAGCGGGACGCAGGCUCCCCUGCCUGCCUCAGUUCCCUUCGUCAUCGGCACCGGGCACACAGUGAAUGCAGACCAGGCUCGUCAGCAAGGGACGCGGAGCGGGACGCAGGCUCCCCUGCAGGUGUCGGCGAUGUCGCCGGCGAAAGCCCCUCCGUGGAUCGUUCCACAAGCUGGUCUGCAUAACGGCCUGCAAGAUGAGGAAUGCUCCUCCCCGAGCCAGCUGCGGGAGCCGGCCACCAGCCGCCUGGACAGCCCGGGCAGAGUCUACAACUUCUGCAUGUACCUGGGCUCCGAGUUGAGGCUCCGCUCGGAACAGAAGCAGAGGCUGAUCCGCAGGAAGAUACCGGAUGUGCUGGAAGAAACCGAGUGAGGAGAAGCGAGCUCUAGGCUGUUCUGUCCGGUGCACAUCGCCCGACCCAUGCGGGAUAGGGCGGUGUUUUGAGUACUUAUUCAGAGGACUUCUUGGGUUUGAUAACUGUGGAUUCCAUUACGCCGUAACCGCUUGGUCGAUAACGUGACCAUGGGCAGCCACUCAACUUGUCGUUUGUCAAUUCAUGGCGCAUUGCUUAACGCUUUCGCUUGCCUGAU